rfam:Oryza sativa (indica cultivar-group) chromosome 6, whole genome shotgun sequence.
AAUAAGUAUAGUUUUAGCACUAUUCACGCCCAACGUUUGACCGCUCGUUUUAUUUGAAAUUUUUUUUUAUGAUUACUACUUUUAUUGUUAUUAGAUGAUAAAACAUGAAUAGUACUUUAUGUGUGACUAAUUUUUUUAAUAUUUUUUAUAAAUUUUUCAAAUAAGAUGGGUCAAACGAUAAAACCGGAUAUCUAUGACUGCACUUANN